GAGUUUGAUCAUGGCUCAGGACGAACGCUGGCGGCGUGCCUAAUACAUGCAAGUCGAACGAACUCUGGUAUUGAUUGGUGCUUGCAUCAUGAUUUACAUUUGAGUGAGUGGCGAACUGGUGAGUAACACGUGGGAAACCUGCCCAGAAGCGGGGGAUAACACCUGGAAACAGAUGCUAAUACCGCAUAACAACUUGGACCGCAUGGUCCGAGCUUGAAAGAUGGCUUCGGCUAUCACUUUUGGAUGGUCCCGCGGCGUAUUAGCUAGAUGGUGGGGUAACGGCUCACCAUGGCAAUGAUACGUAGCCGACCUGAGAGGGUAAUCGGCCACAUUGGGACUGAGACACGGCCCAAACUCCUACGGGAGGCAGCAGUAGGGAAUCUUCCACAAUGGACGAAAGUCUGAUGGAGCAACGCCGCGUGAGUGAAGAAGGGUUUCGGCUCGUAAAACUCUGUUGUUAAAGAAGAACAUAUCUGAGAGUAACUGUUCAGGUAUCGACGGUAUUUAACCAGAAAGCCACGGCUAACUACGUGCCAGCAGCCGCGGUAAUACGUAGGUGGCAAGCGUUGUCCGGAUUUAUUGGGCGUAAAGCGAGCGCAGGCGGUUUUUUAAGUCUGAUGUGAAAGCCUUCGGCUCAACCGAAGAAGUGCAUCGGAAACUGGGAAACUUGAGUGCAGAAGAGGACAGUGGAACUCCAUGUGUAGCGGUGAAAUGCGUAGAUAUAUGGAAGAACACCAGUGGCGAAGGCGGCUGUCUGGUCUGUAACUGACGCUGAGGCUCGAAAGUAUGGGUAGCAAACAGGAUUAGAUACCCUGGUAGUCCAUACCGUAAACGAUGAAUGCUAAGUGUUGGAGGGUUUCCGCCCUUCAGUGCUGCAGCUAACGCAUUAAGCAUUCCGCCUGGGGAGUACGGCCGCAAGGCUGAAACUCAAAGGAAUUGACGGGGGCCCGCACAAGCGGUGGAGCAUGUGGUUUAAUUCGAAGCUACGCGAAGAACCUUACCAGGUCUUGACAUACUAUGCAAAUCUAAGAGAUUAGACGUUCCCUUCGGGGACAUGGAUACAGGUGGUGCAUGGUUGUCGUCAGCUCGUGUCGUGAGAUGUUGGGUUAAGUCCCGCAACGAGCGCAACCCUUAUUAUCAGUUGCCAGCAUUAAGUUGGGCACUCUGGUGAGACUGCCGGUGACAAACCGGAGGAAGGUGGGGAUGACGUCAAAUCAUCAUGCCCCUUAUGACCUGGGCUACACACGUGCUACAAUGGAUGGUACAACGAGUUGCGAACUCGCGAGAGUAAGCUAAUCUCUUAAAGCCAUUCUCAGUUCGGAUUGUAGGCUGCAACUCGCCUACAUGAAGUCGGAAUCGCUAGUAAUCGCGGAUCAGCAUGCCGCGGUGAAUACGUUCCCGGGCCUUGUACACACCGCCCGUCACACCAUGAGAGUUUGUAACACCCAAAGUCGGUGGGGUAACCUUUUAGGAACCAGCCGCCUAAGGUGGGACAGAUGAUUAGGGUGAAGUCGUAACAAGGUAACC
rnacentral:rRNA from 2 species